CGCCGCGACGGACGUCGACGUCGGCAAAGGCAUCGUUGACGCCGCGAAGGACGUCGACGUCGGCGAAGGCAUCGUUGACGCCGCGAAGGACGUCGACGAAGGCAUCGUUGACGCCGCGAAGGACGUCGACGUUCACGUCGUCGAAGGCAUCGUUCACAUCGCGAAGCACGUCGUCGAAGACAUCAGUACCCAUGAGGACGAGGACAAUAAAGGCUUCAAGGAGGACGUCAGCAAAGGGUCUGGUCACCACCACCCCACGGCUACGACCAGCGCUCACUGACCUGCUCAAUCGUGAAAAUGUUGUUGUGUUUUUUGACUAACUAAUACUAAUCCUAUUUUUUCGAUCUUCUGUGACGUCAUCCUAUCACCACGCCCCCUGUCGUCAUCGCUUCUUUUAAUGACGUCAUCACGUCAUUUUCUAAUAUCACUAACCUUAAAAAGGCUAAAAGGUAAAUGGUAAAAAAAAAAGAAAAAAAAUCAUAAAACAA